UUAGCAGACGGAAGUUUCUUCCGAUCUCAGACAGCUUUUUUCCCACGUGGGAUUUGGUGCAGACACCCUUCACCAUCUUCUCCCAUCAGAACAUGCAUUUCUGGCAAGAGAGCAGCUCUGAUUCCCUGGCUUUUCUUCCUAUUUCCCCUGGAUAAGGCAAUUGAGGUAGUUAAUCUUCCGUUAAUCACUCAUGACCAUAACGUGCUCUGCAGACACAGUUGAAGUCUUUAUGGGCGAGGAGGCCUUGGAUGUGACAGAGCUGCUGACAACUCAGACCCAAGGUGACAAGUGAGGAUGGAAAGCAACUCCGAGGCCUACCCUGGGCCUUGUGGUCCCAGCACAACCAGAAGUCCUGGAGGCAGAAUCCCUAAAGUUUUGCGAGGAAUUGUGAAAACCCUCCAGCUUUCUCCACAGUUACUCCAAAUUCCUCAGGUUCCUGGAGAUGAGGAAAAACCAAGAACAUCACUGAGGCUCACAGCAGAGCACAGUCAUCUAAGGAGACCUGCCACAAAGAGUGAAAAUGUGUGCAGUGCCCUGAAGCGGCCAUGUGUUUUUGGAGGAGGUGAAUCACCUUCUGUUCUCCUGGAAUUAUUGAUUUCACAGUGAAGUUUUGCUGCCACAGAGCUGUGGGUAGAAUGUAAAGUUAUUGCCAUCUCUGGAACUCCUCUUUGAUUUCCCCUGCUUGCUGGAAUAACAGUGGGGUUCUGGCAGUCCUCAGGUAGAACAUGGAGAGGCCAGAACAGAGCUGUUCAUGCUGAUAAGAGACUAAUCUUAUGCCUUUGCUGAUAGUAGUCUAUUUAUAAAAAAACAAACCCCAAAUAACUGUAAUUUUGUACUUCCAUCCAACAAUAUCCAGUAGAGAGGAAAAAGCUGGGAAGACUUGGAUUGGGCCCAGAGGUUAUUAGUUUUAAAUGAACGGAAUAGAAGCUCCUCCCCCUUUGUAAUAUUUCUCUGCACAUAAGAAAAAGCACUCCCUACUCUCCUCCUCUGAAAGGGAGAAAAAUAUUUUGUUCAAGGUUCUUGGUUGGCAGUAGGGCUGGGGGACAGGCAAGAGAGACAGAGAAGAUAAAUGCUUUUCUUUUUUCUCCUUUGGUGAUGGGAGUUUAUGAAAAAGUAGAAUGUCCAUGCUUCCAUGCUUUUAGGGAGCUCAAAUUUGUAGCUCUGACAUCAUAUAGCCGUGGAAUUAAGAUCUUACCUUAUACAUCUUACAUCCUCUAACCUGCCAAGUGUUUCCCAGGGUAGAAAGUGGUGACAGAACUGGGCUCUCCCAGAACUGCAGGGAAAUUCCACAGCCACCAACAAAAACUUGUGUCAUCCUUGCUUUUUCUGGUUGGCCUUCCAGCCCAGACACAGUUCCAGAGGUAUCUCCUAUGCCUUGGGCUCUGAACUAACAUACCUACUACUUUUGCUUUGUUUUAUCACAGGUUGAGGGGAAAAAAGGAGCGAGGCUGAAAACAUGCUAAAACAUGAGGUCAGCUCUAAAGAUAUAGAGCUUAAGAAACGAUGGAAGAGAAAAAAGGAAGCACUCUAGGGUGCUUUGGUUAAGGCAGCUGUGUAGAUAAAAAAAAAAAGUGGCCAUGAGGUAGCUUUGGGAGCUGGAAAAAGAGACUUCCGAAACCAAUGAAGUGAGAAAGUUAGUAUCUGAGUGGAUGUUGGUCCUACAGCAUCCUGGGCCACCAUAACCCAGUGCCCUUGUCAUGUCCCAGGAACGUCACUCACUCUGGAUCUGCUGCUGCCCCAUUGCCAUACUCUGUGUAUCUCUGAUAUUCAAAUUGGUUACGCGGGGUUUGUGGCGCGUCUUUGGUGGAAAGGGCCAACGACUGGGGUACAUAAAAUAUUAUCCAUCAUAUUCACCAUGGCUUGAGACCGUAUAGUUAGGAGUGGUUGUUCUAUGGUCACCAUGGUGUUGCUGUUUUAAAGCCUAGUUUAGAGUGCAGGUGCUGUUCUAUUCAUCAGGGAUGCGACAAGUUAAAGGGCCGUUAACACUGAGCUGUGUAAUGAACAGUUAGUGUGAGUGAAUGAAAAGAUUACUGAGUAGAGAUACAAGCUAUCCAGUUGGGAGGGCUUCAACUGCCGAGUAGUCUGAGAGUUUGCACACAUGCAUGACUGAGUAGUGACUGUGAACGGGGAAGUUACCAAAGGAGCGUGAAGGAAGUACCAUGGGUGGCAAGGUAGCCCCACAUGAUGAAGAACCUCAGCAUCGAUCAACUGGAAGUAACAUCCUGAGUGAAACUGAGGUCCAUGACAGCGCACACAGUAUCAAUCUAAACUGACGUCAGUGUCCAGUCUGCAGUGAGAAAUCAGGGAUGCAGGACAACAAAAGAUGCAGAAGGAAGGGCACAUGCCAAGAAGAUGGGCUGGAAGAGCACAGGGAAAGGGGAUUUUUGCAAGACUCAGCUGACAAUCACCUGUCUGUAUCAGAAAACCUUAUUUUUAAGCAUGCCAGCUCAAGUCCCAAUUGGCGACCCAGAGGCUGCAGUGUGCUGGGAGGAGAACUGUUGCCUCUACUCACGAUCUGCUGCAUUCGCGUUGACUCACAACGUGGUUGGGGACUCAGCUAGACAGCACACUAAAUACCCAGCAGAAUUCCUAAAAGCACCAUUGGCCCAGAGAACCCUUUGUUAAUAAAUAUUAUAGCACAAUCUGUGUUUAUCCAGGGAAGUGUGAUAGGGAAGGGAAACUAGCAGGAAAAGAAAAUAGAGUUUAAAUGCCACGGCAGUUGAAAAUAUUUAUUUUUACGGAAGAGAUAUAAUCCAGACAAUUUUCCUCUUGUUUUGAAUGACUAAACCCUAAACUUCAAGCACGUGGAGGCCAAUGACAAUUUUUUUAGGGCAACCAAGAUGAGGAAAAGCAGCCUCUGUGUACACACACCAAAGGGCCAUGGGGCCCGCGUCCACAUUACAAUCAGGGCCUCCCUGUGUGGUCAUUGUGGCCCCCGACACACUUAGGCAGAUCAUCAAGUACAAAAAAGCUUUUAGCUUUUCUCUAGACAAUCUAUAGUUUCCAAGAGGCCUUGGGAGAAGCUUGGAAAGGAACAGGAUCAAAAUUCAGAUGAAGGAGCAGAGGUGCAAUUACCACAAGCUAUUAUUAGAGCAGCUGGCGAAACAUCUUUCUGUAAACCAGGGAGUCUUCCUCUUAUGCCCUCCUCUUUGGCCCUGAAUCUAAAUCGAGGAACCAGCAUUAUGUGGUUGAAUCCCUGCUCUGGUUGGGUGGGAGGGUUUCAGGCAAACCCUUGUCCUUUUCUUUUAUCUUUUUAUUUUAAAGUAGGGAAUAGAUACAAGUGGGCACUAUUGUGAAGAGUAGGUAGGUGGUCCAUGGCUCUGACAUACCAGCCUUGCCAGCUGUGGUGUGGGAAAGUAGGCAAUUAAUAAAACCUUUGCGGCAGCUCCUGUGACCACAAGGGAUGAUAUUGCCUCCAUUUAGCAUGUUUAAAUUUAAGUAUUCACCUCAUGUCAAAGUAUGUAGCUGUGUUCUCGCAUCUGAGGUUGUUCAUUUGGAAAUACAGAAGGAUGAGGCAUUAUUUCUUUAAAUAAAAUAUUCAUUACCAUCUGUGUCUCAGUGAUCCCUAAAGCAGAAAUUCAAUUCACACAUUAAAUUCAAUAAUCAUAUAUUAAACACUUACUAUGCAACACCCUGUGGAAACUGAAGAUGAAACAGACUAAGAAUUCCUGCCCUCAAGGGGUUUAUAAAUUAGGAGGAACAUAAAGGAGGUAUCCAAACAAUCAUGUGAAAAGAGAGAAAACAUGAAAUGACUCAAGAGAGGUAACUGCAGAGAAAAAAAUAAUUUUUUUUUUAAAAAAAGAGAGAGGUAAGUGCUAACGUGGUUCACUUGGGGAUCAUAUCCUCAGAGGCGAGCUUUGCACUGGAGAUAUAAAUUUGGGAGUCCUGAGCACAUAUGUGGAAUUCAACUCUGUGAGCAUGAAUGAGAUCACCUAGGAGAAGAUACAAAAGGGAAAAGGGACCUAGGCAAGGGCCCUGGGUGCUCUAUAUUUAGAAGCUAGAUAGAAGAAGAGCCAGCAAGGGGACUGAGAAGGAGAGGCCAGCGAUGUACAGGAAAAUUAGUAAAGUAUAGCAUCAUAGAAGCUAAGCAUGGAAAAGCAUUUCAAGAAGGAAUGGGUGGGGCUU